rnacentral:rRNA from 1 species
GACGAACGCUGGCGGCGUGCCUAAUACAUGCAAGUUGAGCGCUGAAGGUUGGUACUUGUACCAACUGGAUGAGCAGCGAACGGGUGAGUAACGCGUGGGGAAUCUGCCUUUGAGCGGGGGACAACAUUUGGAAACGAAUGCUAAUACCGCAUAAAAACUUUAAACACAAGUUUUAAGUUUGAAAGAUGCAAUUGCAUCACUCAAAGAUGAUCCCGCGUUGUAUUAGCUAGUUGGUGAGGUAAAGGCUCACCAAGGCGAUGAUACAUAGCCGACCUGAGAGGGUGAGCGGCCACAUUGGGACUGAGACACGGCCCAAACUCCUACGGGAGGCAGCAGUAGGGAAUCGUCGGCAAUGGACGAAAGUCUGACCGAGCAACGCCGCGUGAGUGAAGAAGGGUGUCGGAUCGUAAAACUCGGUUGGUAGAGAAGAACGUUGGUGAGAGUGGAAAGCUCAUCAAGUGACGGUAACUACCCAGAAAGGGACGGCUAACUACGUG